rnacentral:rRNA from 1 species
AAACUAACAGAUUUACUUCGGUAAUGACGUUAGGAAAGCGAGCGGCGGAUGGGUGAGUAACACGUGGGGAACCUGCCCCAUAGUCUGGGAUACCACUUGGAAACAGGUGCUAAUACCGGAUAAGAAAGCAGAUCGCAUGAUCAGCUUUUAAAAGGCGGCGUAAGCUAUCGCUAUGGGAUGGCCCCGCGGUGCAUUAGCUAGUUGGUAAGGUAAGGGCUUACCAAGGCGAUGAUGCAUAGCCGAGUUGAGAGACUGAUCGGCCACAUUGGGACUGAGACACGGCCCAAACUCCUACGGGAGGCAGCAGUAGGGAAUCUUCCACAAUGGACGCAAGUCUGAUGGAGCAACGCCGCGUGAGUGAAGAAGGUUUUCGGAUCGUAAAGCUCUGUUGUUGGUGAA